UACCUGCAGCUCGAGUGGUAACCGCUAUUAUUGGGCCUAAAGCGUCCGUAGCCGGUUUGGUAAAUAUCUGGGUAAAUCGUGAGGCUUAACUUCACGAAUUUCGGAUAGACUGCCAGACUUGGGAUCGGGGGAGGUCAGAGGUACUCCAGGGGUAGCGGUGAAAUGUUGUAAUCCUUGGAGGACCACCGGUAGCGAAGGCGUCUGACUAGAACGAGUCCGACGGUGAGGGACGAAGCCCUGGGGCGCAAACCGGAUUAGAUACCCGGGUAGUCCAGGGUGUAAACGAUGUGGGCUUUGUAUUGGAGGUCCCACGUGGGCGUCCAGUGCAGAAGAGAAGUUGUUAAGCCCACCGCCUGGGAAGUACGGUCGCAAGGCUGAAACUUAAGGGAAUUGGCGGGGGAGCACAGCAACGGGAGGAGCGUGCGGUUU
rnacentral:rRNA from 1 species